UCUCACACCCAGGUUUCUGUUCUGAAUUCAUGCUUCUGAGUGUGUUUGGUUCAGUUUCUUGCAUCUAAACCCAUAUCCUGCUAAUGUACAGUGGAUUUACUCUGGAUCGGAAGGAAUGAGUUCAAAUCCCAGCAUCACCAAGCUGAAACUGCUGGACCCUUAUGCAGGACCCUUAAACUCACAACUGCUCAGAUGUGUGUAUGGGGUGCUGACAGAGUGGUGAGAUGAAGGAAGAACACUGAGGAGCAUCCGAGCUCUCUCUGCGGAUCAGCUGUACAGAACCGAAACUCUGGAAUGAUGGGAUAAUCAUCUCAACCCAACACUGAAGAACCAUCACUCGCUUCUCAGCUCUCUACUCCAAUAUGUUCUCCAAUGUUCUCCAAUGUUCUCCACGUUCUCUACUGUAAAUCGUAAUAAACUCCAUUCUGUGUUUAUUAUAAAAGGAAUAAAACACUCCCUCUGUUUUCCUCUAA